AUGGGAUAUGAAUAAAUAGAGAUGUGGGGCAUACAUCAAUGAGCAAGCAACCUAAAAACCUGGAAAAAUAUCUCUAAAGUACAUACAGUUAAUAAACUUGAAGGGCGUUCACUACUCAGUUUCAAAAUAAACAAACUUUUCAUAAUCACUAGUAUAUAUUGAUAGGGGUUUAAUAAAGGAACCCAAAUAGCAAAAAAAAUAUAUAGGUCAAUGUGCUUAUUUUUUUUAGAUUUUUUAAAUUUUGGCAGGAAAAUCUCUUGAUUUUUCAUAGCUUUAUCAUUGACAAGUUUAAAUUUGUAAAAACUAAAAAAAAUAACAACGAUUUUAUAAGACUUUUACAGAUGGCUUAUAAUUAUAGAUGUAAAAAAUUUAUAAAAGAAAAAUUUAUAAAAAACAAGAAUGUGUCCAUAGUACACGGAUGCCCCACUCCCACUAUCAUUUUCUAUGUUCAGUGGACCAUGAAAUUGGGGUCAAAACUAUAAUUUGGCAUUAAAAUUAGAAAGAUCAUAUCAUGGGGAACAUGUGUAUUAAGUUUCAAGUUGAUUAGACUUCAGCUUCAUCAAAAACUACCUCGACCAAAAACUUUAACCGGACGGACGAACCGAGGCACAGACGGACGGACGAACGAACGGAGGCACAGACCAGAAAACAUAAUGCCACUCUACUAUCGUAGGUGGGGCAUAAAAAUAUGGGAGUCAAUGGGCAAAAUUUUUCAAG
rnacentral:lncRNA from 1 species